AUUGACCCUAUCCCAAAGAGACCUUACAUCAAGGUAACCCCCAGACCAGGAACUCUUUUGGCCUCAGCUGACAUGUCAGGGGAAGAGCAGGAUUUCUGGAGGACCCACCAAGCAUCCUGCUAGCAGAGGUGAAAGAUGACUUGAAGGUUCCCCGAAGAUCUCCCAGUCUCUCCUCUCUAACCACUGUGAGCCUUAAACACCCCUGGGGAAUCCAGCCUGAGAUGAAGCAGGAGAGCAGAGUGGAUUGGGCCCUGUCUCUGUCUCUCUCUCUCCCUCCCUCCCUUCCAGCCCAACUCCAUCAUCCCUUGUUCUGCGAAAGCAGCGAGCUCCGUCCCCACCACAGUGCUCUGGAUGCUGUCGGAAGGCUCCCUGCUCGGUGAGAUUCUCCACACCUCCUGGCUGCUGGGUAACGGGUGACGGGAGCAAACAGCCUAGGCCCCGCUCUGCCCUCUGGCUGGGGAGAGCUGCAUGGAGCUAGGAGCUGGGAGAGGUCUUUCCCUGCAAUCAUGAUUGGUGCUUGGGGUGGGAUUGACCUUUCAAGGUGUUGAGAACUCAUCCCCUGGUGGGUGGGAUGCUGGCUUGAAGGGCUGGCUUGGUUUGCAUCACGGGCAGCUUUCUCCAUAUAGGGGUGUUGGGACAGGAAGGAAUUCUCUGGUGUAAAGACCAAGGUUGUCCUCAUUUCCUCCUGGGUGAUCCGACUCGUCCUGCAGUCUUUGGUUUGAGUGUGACUGGUGGGGGCAGCUUUACAUCUUCGCUCUGUACCGAGACAGUGCAGAUUUGGCUGGGCCUCUUCUCUGCCUCAGAAAGAUCUCUGAACCGCUGCUUCUGGUUGGGAGUCACCUUGCUUCCUUGUCUAGCCCGGGGCCUUGACCGACACCACACCUUCCGCAGCUUCCCUCCUUCAUCCCUGCCAUAGAGUGUCCCGCCACAGAGAUGGGGCCAGCAGAGCUCGUGUGCGGGACGAGAACCACCAUGUCUCUACCACCGGGUACCUCCAACAAUAGUCUCAACUCCCUGUUAAUUGCAAUUGGCUCCAGCAGAGGAGGAUGGAGUGUGGGGACUGCAGGCUUCUCUGCAUUGGAUGAGCAUGGCAAGCUGCUCCUGAUCUCAGAGCACUUUACAAAGGAGGUGAAUGGGGGACUCUGAAGCACAGAGAGGAAAUGUGACUUGCCCAAGGUCACCCAGCAGUCAGCUGCUGAACUCCAGCUCAGAGAGGCAGAAGAAAAGUCGACGGGGGAACUGCAUCCGUCGAUCGAGCGCCGUGAGGACGCGAAGUAAGUAAUUUUAAUUCAAUCUAAGAUACAUUGAAUUCAGCUACGCUAUUCUCAUAGCUGAAGUUGCGUAUCUUAGAUCGAUCUCCCCCCUAGUGUAGACCAGGCCUAAGGCACCUUUCUACCACUAUAACUGCCCACAGUAGAGCUUGUGUUGUAUAUCUGUCAGUUAACCUCCCCCUCCCUCAGCUGACAGUCCUACUGGAACCAACUCUGAAGCCAACAAAGAAAAGGUGCUUUGGCUUUUGAGGAGUGCAAUCUGAUCUCUUUACUCAGCUAGGCAGUAACGAGAAAUAGCUUCUCUCAAAUGAUUAAUAGUGAUUAAUAAAGUCAGUGCCCUUCUAGGUACUAUUUCCUAG
rnacentral:lncRNA from 1 species